rnacentral:rRNA from 1 species
GACGAACGCUGGCGGCAUGCCUAAUACAUGCAAGUCGAGCGAACAGAUGAAGUGCUUGCACUUCUGACGUUAGCGGCGAACGGGUGAGUAACACGUAAGGAAUCUACCUAUAAGCGGGGGAUAACAUUCGGAAACGGGUGCUAAUACCGCAUAAUAUCUUCUUCCGCAUGGAAGUAGAUUGAGAGACGGCUCUGCUGUCACUUAUAGAUGACCUUGCGGUGCAUUAGUUAGUUGGUGGGGUAACGGCCUACCAAGACGAUGAUGCAUAGCCGACCUGAGAGGGUGAUCGGCCACAUUGGGACUGAGACACGGCCCAAACUCCUACGGGAGGCAGCAGUGGGGAAUCUUCCGCAAUGGGCGAAAGCCUGACGGAGCAAUGCCGCGUGAGUGAAGAAGGCCUUCGGGUCGUAAAACUCUGUUAUAAGAGAAGAACAAAUUGUAGAGUAACUGCUACAGUCUUGACGGUAUCUUAUCAGAAAGCCACGGCUAACUACGUGCCAGCCGCCGCGGUAA